rnacentral:rRNA from 1 species
CAGUCGCCGCGGUAAUACGUAGGGUGCAAGCGUUAAUCGGAAUUACUGGGCGUAAAGGGCUCGCAGGCGGUUUCUUAAGUCUGAUGUGAAAGCCCCCGGCUCAACCGGGGAGGGUCAUUGGAAACUGGGAAAUUUGAGUGCAGAAGAGGAGAGUGGAAUUCCACGUGUAGCGGUGAAAUGCGUAGAGAUGUGGAGGAACACCAGUGGCGAAGGCGACUCUCUGGUCUGUAACUGACGCUGAGGAGCGAAAGCGUGGGGAGCGAACAGGAUUAGAUACCCCAGUAGUCCCUGUCUCUUAUAC